GACGAACGCUGGCGGCGUGCUUAACACAUGCAAGUCGAGCGGUAAGGCCCUUUCGGGGGUACACGAGCGGCGAACGGGUGAGUAACACGUGGGUGACCUGCCCUCAGCUCUGGGAUAAGCCUGGGAAACCGGGUCUAAUACUGGAUAUGACUCCAUGACGCAUGUUGUGGGGUGGAAAGCCUUGUGCGGCUGAGGAUGGGCCCGCGGCCUAUCAGCUUGUUGGUGGGGUGAGGCCUACCAAGGCGACGACGGGUAGCCGGCCUGAGAGGGCGACCGGCCACACUGGGACUGAGACACGGCCCAGACUCCUACGGGAGGCAGCAGUGGGGAAUCUUGCGCAAUGGGCGAAAGCCUGACGCAGCGACGCCGCGUGAGGAUGACGG
rnacentral:rRNA from 1 species